UACGUUUAUUCAAAUGUAGAAAUGUAAACUAAGGUGAUUUAUGUACAAAUGUAAACUAAGGUAGAUUUAUGUACAAAUGUAAACUAAGGUGAUUUAUGUAGAGAUGUAAACUAAGGUAGAUUUAUGUACAAAUGUAAACUAAGGUAGAUUUAUGUACAAAUGUAAACUAAGGUAGAUUUAUGUACAAAUGUAAACUAAGGAAGAUUUAUGUACAAAUGUAAACUAAGGUAGAUUUAUGUACAAAUGUAAACUAAGGAAGAUUUAUGUACAAAUGUAAACUAAGGUAGAUUUAUGUACAAAUGUAAACUAAGGAAGAUUUAUGUACAAAUGUAAACUAAGAUAGAUUUAUGUACAAAUGUAAACUAAGGUAGAUUUAUGUACAAAUGUAAACUAAGGUAGAUUUAUGUACAAAUGUAAACUAAGGAAGGUUUAUGUACAAAUGUAAACUAAGGUAGAUUUAUGUACAAAUGUAAACUAAGGUAGAUUUAUGUACAAAUGUAAACUAAGGAAGAUUUAUGCAGA